rnacentral:rRNA from 1 species
CCUACGGGGAGCUGCAGUGAGGAAUAUUGGUCAAUGGACGAGAGUCUGAACCAGCCAAGUAGCGUGAAGGAUGACUGCCCUAUGGGUUGUAAACUUCUUUUAUAUGGGAAUAAAAUGUUCCACGUGUGGGAUUUUGUAUGUACCAUAUGAAUAAGGAUCGGCUAACUCCGUGCCAGCAGCCGCGGUAAUACGGAGGAUCCGAGCGUUAUCCGGAUUUAUUGGGUUUAAAGGGAGCGUAGGUGGAUUGUUAAGUCAGUUGUGAAAGUUUGCGGCUCAACCGUAAAAUUGCAGUUGAAACUGGCAGUCGUGAGUACAGUAGAGGUGGGCGGAAUUCGUGGUGUAGCGGUGAAAUGCUUAGAUAUCACGAAGAACUCCGAUUGCGAAGGCAGCUCACUGGACUGCAACUGACACUGAGGCUCGAAAGUGUGGGUAUCAAACAGGAUUAGAUACCCGAGUAGUC